rnacentral:rRNA from 1 species
GUGCCAGCCGUCGCGGUAAUACGUAGGGUACGAGCGUUGUCCGGAAUUAUUGGGCGUAAAGAGCUCGUAGGUGGUUGGUCACGUCUGCUGUGGAAACGCAACGCUUAACGUUGCGCGGGCAGUGGGUACGGGCUGACUAGAGUGCAGUAGGGGAGUCUGGAAUUCCUGGUGUAGCGGUGAAAUGCGCAGAUAUCAGGAGGAACACCGGUGGCGAAGGCGGGACUCUGGGCUGUAACUGACACUGAGGAGCGAAAGCAUGGGGAGCGAACAGGAUUAGAUACCCUGGUAGUCCAUGCCGUAAACGUUGGGCACUAGGUGUGGGGGACAUUCCACGUUCUCCGCGCCGUAGCUAACGCAUUAAGUGCCCCGCCUGGGGAGUACGGUCGCAAGGCUAAAACUCAAAGGAAUUGACGGGGGCCCGCACAAGCGGCGGAGCAUGCGGAUUAAUUCGAUGCAACGCGAAGAACCUUACCAAGGCUUGACAUACACCGGACCGGGCUGGAAACAGUCUUUCCCUUUUUGGGCUGGUGUACAGGUGGUGCAUGGUUGUCGUCAGCUCGUGUCGUGAGAUGUUGGGUUAAGUCCCGCAACGAGCGCAACCCUCGUUCUAUGUUGCCAGCACGUGAUGGUGGGAACUCAUAAGAAACUGCCGGGGUCAACUCGGAGGAAGGUGGGGAUGACGUCAAAUCAUCAUGCCCUUUAUGUCUUGGGCUUCACGCAUGCUACAAUGGCUGGUACAGAGAGAGGCGAACCCGUGAGGGUAAGCAAAUCCCUUAAAGCCAGUCUCAGUUCGGAUCGUAGUCUGCAAUUCGACUACGUGAAGUCGGAGUCGCUAGUAAUCGCAGAUCAGCAACGCUGCGGUGAAUACGUUCCCGGGCCUUGUAC